rnacentral:lncRNA from 1 species
UUUAAGCAUUUCCAUAAUAUCAUUGUCAUCCUUCAAAGUUUUAAACACAUUAGUGUAUGGAAUUUUAUAGAAUAACCAGUCCCAAGACACAUAUCCCAACUUCUCAACUUCAACCUUUAGAUCGAAAUAUCCAAGCCUAUCCUCAUCUAAUCCUAAUUUGCUAACAUAAUUACCUCCAAAAUAUUCUGCAUGUCCCUCUAAAUUCACAACAACACCUCC